AAGUCGUAACAAGGUUUCCGUAGGUGAACCUGCGGAAGGAUCAUUAACAGUAUUCAUGGCAUGGUUCAGUUUUGGGCAUUGCUAUGCGCAGCAUGGCAAUGGGCAAAAGUGAAUCAUGGCACUCAUACACAAACCAAACAUUUUGUCACUACAGUUCUGACCUUUGGCUCACUUGACUGCAGUGGCAAACAUGGCUGAUGCGUCUUACAACAAUUUUGUUGUGGGGGGACCGCACACAAACACCUACUUAUUGCAAAACGUCUUAGUACAUAGUAAAAAUAUAUAACACUUUUAACAACGGAUCUCUUGGCUCUC
rnacentral:misc_RNA from 1 species